AAAUUUUUCCCCUUUUCACCAAAUCACCAAAUCAGAGAAAGGUUUCUACCUUCACCAAAAUUUUUCGCGCCCUCAUUACCUUCACCAAAUCAGAGAAAGGUUUCCACCUUUGUGCCCUCACCUUCACGCUAUCACCUUCGCUACUACCUUUGCCACUCACCAUCGCUCCUCUUUCCCACUCACCACUCACCACUUCGCCACUCAUCGUCGCUCCUCUUCGCCCUUCUGUACUGAUUGUUGUUGCGCACUCACCAUUGGGAAGACUCUGCACUCAGCAUUGUCCUCUCUACACUCAACACCGUCGAGAAGGCAUGUAUUCAUCAUCAUUUAGUUCUAAAAUUUGAGAGGGUUAGGGUUCCAAUUUAGGAUUUUUAAUUUGGGAGUUUGGUACAAUAAUCUGUAAGAUAUGCAUUUGUGGAUUGUGAUUUGAUGAACAUGCAUGCUAUUGUUGUUGUGCAUGUGAACUCGUACCCAACUGUUUGAGGAUUUACUGAGGUGAGGACUUCGUGCAAUCAAUGGUUGUUGCCGUGUAAUCUGUAAUCCAACAGCCCAUUCCUAAGGGUAAAAAAUAAACCAAAAAGGCAACUCCUAACAAAUCCCCUAAGAAAGGAUAUACAGAAACACAUGCCAAGAAGCAAAAGCAAUGUUCAAAUGUUGGUAAAAAGAGAAAGCAAUCUUCUGAUGUUGAGGAGGAUGAUAAAGAGGAAGUGUCGGAUGCUGAAGAGGCAUCUCAUGAUGAUGAAGAUGUUAGAGUUUCAAAUGAUGAAAGUAAAGAGGAAAAUAAAUUAGAGGAAGAGGAAGAAAAACCAAGCACCCAAAAGCGCACUCUUAAAAAGAUUGCAAAAGAGGGUUCAACCGGCAAAGCAGGAGAGAAAUCUACGUUAGGCAAGAAGACAUCUGUGAAGGCUGCUAAGAUUCUGAGAAAACUCCAAAGAAGUCCUCUUAAAAAAAGACUGACUAGGAUAGUGCUUUUGCAUCCAAAAAGCCGAAAACCUCUAGUGAAAAGUCGGAUACUAAAGGAAAGGCUACAAGUAAAACACAAAAAGAGAAGUCGUCAAAAGCUUUAGUGAAGGAUCAAGGAAAAGGAAAAGGUAGUAAGAAGUCCAAGAAGAAACCUAGCAGGGAGGACAUGCAUGCAGUUGUAGUCGAUAUUCUGAAGGAAGUUGAUUUUAAUACUGGCAGGAAUGGCUUAGAGGAUGGAAAGGAAGCAUGCAAAAGUGGAAGAAAUACAAGAAAUUGAGAAUUUCAGGAUCUGGUAGCGACGCGCACGCGUGGACGAUGCGUACGCGUAACUGAGUCAAUGUCCAAGUGAUGCGCAUGCGUGGCUGAUGCCUACGCGUGACCAGUGCCGAGUUCAAGCAACGCGUAUGCGUGGGCGACACGUACGCGUGACAAAGUGUCACGUGCUGUAAUUGUAGAAAACGCUGGGGACAAUUUCUGGGCUGCUUUUGAUCCAGUUUCAGGCCUGAAAAUACUUAUUAGAGGCUACAAAGUGAGGCUGGGGGGAUCCAUUAUUCACACUUUCAUUCAUACAAUUUAGGUUUAGAUGUAGUUUUCUAGAGACUCCUCUCUCUAGGUUUUAAGGUUUCUUCUUUCAAUUUCUCCUUAGGUUCAGGUUCAAUCUUCCUUUAAUUUAGUGUUCUCUUACUUUUAUUUG